rnacentral:rRNA from 1 species
AGGUUUAAAAUUAAGGAUUAAAAUUAUUUAAUAAAAUAUUUAAAUAUUAGUAUUAUAUAGAGAAUAUAGAAAUAUAAAGGUACUGUAAAGGAAAAAAUUGUAAAAUUAUUUAAAUAAAAAGUUAAAUUUUGUACCUUUUGUAUUAGGGUGGUACUAAAUAAUAAUUUUAUAAUUGAAUCUCGAAAUUUUUUUGAUCUAUGUUUUAGAAUUUUUAAUGUUGUAAAAUUAGGGUAAAAUAUGAUAUAGUGGGGAAAUCCUAAACGCAAAAAAAUAUAUCUAGUUGAUAGAUGGAUAAUUAAAUUGUUGGUUAAAAAAAAUUAACUUGAAAAUUGUAAGGGGGGUAGCUCUAGAAUUGGAUUAAUCAUGGAAAAAUUAAAGUUAUAUUUAAGUUUAGAAUUUGCUAGAAUUAGAAGUAUGUUAUAAUAAUUAAAGAUUGAUUUAAUUAUUGAUGAAUUUGUAUUUAUUAAAGUGUAAAAAUAAUAUUUAUAUUACUAUAAUGUAUUAAUUAGUAAAAUUGAAUUAUUAAGAUUAAAAGUGAAAUUAAAUUACGUAAAGGAACUAGACAAAUUUAAUUUUGGCCUGUUUAACAAAAACAUGGUUUUUUGGUAUAGUAUAAAAAAUCUAACCUGCCCCAUGAUGAAUUAAAUGGCCGCGGUAAUAUGACCGUGCGAAGGUAGCAUAAUCAAUUGUCUAUUAAUUGUAGACUGGAAUGAAUGGUUGAACUUGGAAUUAAUUGUCUUUAUGGGAAAAAUGAAUUUUGGGUUUUUAUGAAGAUUUAAAAAUGGAUUUAUUAGACGAGAAGACCCUAUUGAGCUUUAUAUUAUUGUUGGUAUUAAUGGUUAGAGUAGAGUAUCGAUUAAUAUAUUUUGUUGGGGCGACAGGUGACAAUUAAAACAUUACUAAAAUAAAUUAUUUUGUUGAAGAUUUUUGAUCCAAUAAUAUUGAUUAAUAGACUAAGUUACUGUAGGGAUAACAGCGUAAUUUUAUUUAGGAGUUCAAAUCUAUAAUAAAGAUUGCGACCUCGAUGUUGGUUUAGGAUUCCUUUAAUAAAAAUAGAUGAAAGGUAGUCUGUUCGACUAUUAAACUCCUAUAUGAUCUGAGUUCAAACCGGUGUAAGCCAGGUUGGUUUCUAUCUAUAAAUUAUUAAUUUUAUUUUAGUACGAAAGGACCAAAUAAAAGUAAAUAUUAUUUUUAAUGUUAAAAAUCAAAUUUUUAUU